rnacentral:rRNA from 1 species
GAUGAACGCUAGCUACAGGCUUAACACAUGCAAGUCGAGGGGCAGCACAGUGUAGCAAUACAUGGGUGGCGACCGGCGCACGGGUGCGUAACGCGUAUCCAACCUUCCCGUUACUCAGGGAUAGCCUUCCGAAAGGGAGAUUAAUACCUGAUGGUGUUCAAAUUCCGCAUGUUAUUUGAACUAAAGAUUUAUCGGUAACGGAUGGGGAUGCGUGACAUUAGAUAGUAGGUGGGUAACGGCCCACCUAGUCUACGAUGUCUAGGGGUUCUGAGAGGAAGGUCCCCCACACUGGAACUGAGACACGGCCCAGACUCCUACGGGAGGCAGCAGUGGGGAAUAUUGCACAAUGGGCGCAAGCCUGAUGCAGCGAUGCCGCGUGAGGGAAGAAGGUUUUAGGAUUGUAAACCUCUGUCUUCAGGGACGAUAAUGACGGUACCUGAGGAGGAAGCUCCGGCUAACUACGUG